rnacentral:rRNA from 1 species
UGGGGAAUAUUGGACAAUGGGCGCAAGCCUGAUCCAGCCAUGCCGCGUGAGUGAUGAAGGCCCUAGGGUUGUAAAGCUCUUUCACCGGUGAAGAUAAUGACGGUAACCGGAGAAGAAGCCCCGGCUAACUUCGUGCCAGCAGCCGCGGUAAUACGAAGGGGGCUAGCGUUGUUCGGAUUUACUGGGCGUAAAGCGCACGUAGGCGGACUAUUAAGUCAGGGGUGAAAUCCCGGGGCUCAACCCCGGAACUGCCUUUGAUACUGGUAGUCUUGAGUUCGAGGGAGGUGAGUGGAAUUCCGAGUGUAGAGGUGAAAUUCGUAGAUAUUCGGAGGAACACCAGUGGCGAAGGCGGCUCACUGGCUCGAUACUGACGCUGGGGUGCGAAAGCGUGGGGGGCAAACAGG